rnacentral:rRNA from 1 species
AGUGAACGCUGGCGGUAGGCCUAACACAUGCAAGUCGAACGGCAGCACAGUAAGAGCUUGCUCUUACGGGUGGCGAGUGGCGGACGGGUGAGGAAUACAUCGGAAUCUACUUUUUCGUGGGGGAUAACGUAGGGAAACUUACGCUAAAACCGCAUACGGCCUACGGGUGAAAGCAGGGGAUCUUCGGACCUUGCGCGAUUGAAUGAGCCGAUGUCGGAUUAGCUAGUUGGCGGGGUAAAGGCCCACCAAGGCGACGAUCCGUAGCUGGUCUGAGAGGAUGAUCAGCCACACUGGAACUGAGACACGGUCCAGACUCCUACGGGAGGCAGCAGUGGGGAAUAUUGGACAAUGGGCGCAAGCCUGAUCCAGCCAUACCGCGUGGGUGAAGAAGGCCUUCGGGUUGUAAAGCCCUUUUGUUGGGAAAGAAAAGCAGCAGGUUAAUACCCCGCUGUUCUGACGGUACCCAAAGAAUAAGCACCGGCUAACUUCGUG